CCUACGGGAGGCAGCAGUGGGGAAUCUUGCGCAAUGGGCGAAAGCCUGACGCAGCCAUGCCGCGUGUAUGAUGAAGGUCUUAGGAUUGUAAAAUACUUUCACCGGUGAAGAUAAUGACUGUAGCCGGAGAAGAAGCCCCGGCUAACUUCGUGCCAGCAGCCGCGGUAAUACGAAGGGGGCUAGCGUUGCUCGGAAUUACUGGGCGUAAAGGGAGCGUAGGCGGACAUUUAAGUCAGGGGUGAAAUCCCAGAGCUCAACUCUGGAACUGCCUUUGAUACUGGGUGUCUUGGGUGUGAUAGAGGUAUGUGGAACUCCGAGUGUAGAGGUGAAAUUCGUAGAUAUUCGGAAGAACACCAGUGGCGAAGGCGACAUACUGGAUCAUUACUGACGCUGAGGCUCGAAAGCGUGGGGAGCAAACAGGAUUAGAUACCCUGGUAGUCCACGCCGUAAACGAUGAUUGCUAGUUGUCGGGAUGUUUACAUCUCGGUGACGCAGCUAACGCAUUAAGCAAUCCGCCUGGGGAGUACGGUCGCAAGNUUAAAACUUAAGGAAUUGACGGCUGAGACGNGCGAGCGACACGAGGAGAG
rnacentral:rRNA from 1 species